CCUGGACCGGGAUGGGAAGAGAAGCAGCGAUAGGGACCGUCUAGGCUUCUAGAGUCCUCUAUGCCUUUAGUCUUGGGCUCAUUCCAGACACAGAUGACUCUAAUGAAUUGGACAACAAAGGCAGAUGGUUGUGUUACUGACCUCCAUGAAGAAAUGCCCAAGUUUCCAAGAAGGAAAGCUUGGACUCUGAAGAGAGGUAGAUUGCAACCUCCUCCAGCCCCCUCUCUGAGACUGGUUCCCCUCCACUGUUUCAAUCCAACAAUUCCAAGAUGGAAGGUGAGGACUUUUUAAAAAGUGAUACUGCCAAUGUUCAUUGAAGAGUAAGUCGAGCAAACCUCUCGUAAAAGAAUUAUGAGACAUUUCAAAUUUUACUCUUGGAAACUAGGCUCAAAAUUUUGGUUACAAAAGAUCCAGAGAAGUGUGUUCAGUCCAUAAAGUCCCCUUGGAACCUUUGCCUCCUCGUACUCAGCCCCUCAUAUGUAGAGACG
rnacentral:lncRNA from 1 species